GAUGAACGCUGGCGGCGUGCCUAAUACAUGCAAGUCGAGCGAACAGACGAGGAGCUUGCUCCUCUGACGUUAGCGGCGGACGGGUGAGUAACACGUGGAUAACCUACCUAUCAGACUGGGAUAACUUCGGGAAACCGGAGCUAAUACCGGAUAAUAUAUUGAACCGCAUGGUUCAAUAGUGAAAGACGGUUUUGCUGUCACUUAUAGAUGGAUCCGCGCCGCAUUAGCUAGUUGGUAAGGUAACGGCUUAACAAGGCGACGAUGCGUAGCCGACCUGAGAGGGUGAUCGGCCACACUGGAACUGAGACACGGUCCAGACUCCUACGGGAGGCAGCAGUAGGGAAUCUUCCGCAAUGGGCGAAAGCCUGACGGAGCAACGCCGCGUGAGUGAUGAAGGUCUUCGGAUCGUAAAACUCUGUUAUUAGGGAAGAACAAAUGUGUAAGUAACUAUGCACGUCUUGACGGUACCUAAUCAGAAAGCCACGGCUAACUACGUG
rnacentral:rRNA from 1 species